rnacentral:rRNA from 1 species
GAUGAACGCUGGCGGCGUGCCUAAUACAUGCAAGUCGAGCGAACAGACGAGGAGCUUGCUCCUCUGACGUUAGCGGCGGACGGGUGAGUAACACGUGGAUAACCUACCUAUAAGACUGGGAUAACUUCGGGAAACCGGAGCUAAUACCGGACAAUAUAUUGAACCGCAUGGUUCAAUAGUGAAAGACGGUUUUGCUGUCACUUAUAGAUGGAUCCGCGCCGCAUUAGUAGGUUGGUAAGGUAACGGCUUACCAAGGCAACGAUGCGUAGCCGACCGGAGAGGGUGGGCAGCCAGGCUGGGAGUAAGACACGGUAAACCUCCGCUGGGAGGCAGCAGGGACGAAUACUCGAGGAUGGAGGGGAGCAUAACGGAACACCGCCGAGAGAGUGAUGAAGGUCUGCGGAUCGUAAAACGCAGUUAUUAGGGAAGAAAAGAUGUGUAAGCAGCUAUGAACGUGACGGCAGUACCAGAACAAGAACCGGCUAAUAACGUG